UCCGGUUUGUCACCGGCAGUCUCCCUAGAGUGCCCUUGCGUAGCAACUAAUGGCAAGGGUUGCGCUCGUUGCGGGACUUAACCCAACAUCUCACGACACGAGCUGACGACAGCCAUGCAGCACCUGUGUUCAGGUUCCCUUUCGGGCACCUCUGCAUUUCUGCAGAGUUCCUGACAUGUCAAGGGUAGGUAAGGUUUUUCGCGUUGCAUCGAAUUAAACCACAUCAUCCACCGCUUGUGCGGGCCCCCGUCAAUUCCUUUGAGUUUCAGUCUUGCGACCGUACUCCCCAGGCGCAGAACUUAACGCGUUAGCUUCGGCACGGGAGGGGUCGAUACCCCCCAUACCCAGCACUCAUUGUUUAGGGCGUGGACUAC
rnacentral:misc_RNA from 1 species